GACGAACCGUGCAAACGUUGUUCGGAAUCACUGGGCUUAAAGGGCGCGUAGGCGGACUCGCCAGUCUGUGGUGAAAGCCCCCGGCUUAACCGGGGAAGUGCCAUGGAUACUGCGAGUCUGGAGGAGGGUAGGGGCAUCUGGAACGCUGGGUGGAGCGGUGAAAUGCGUUGAUAUCCAGCGGAACUCCGGUGGCGAAGGCGAGGUGCUGGACCCUUCUGACGCUGAUGCGCGAAAGCCAGGGGAGCCAAAGCGGGAUUAAGAAACCCGGGGUAG
rnacentral:rRNA from 1 species